rnacentral:rRNA from 1 species
AUGUACAUGCCUACAAAAUUAAUGCACUGAAUCCCAUCGAAAAUCCAAAGUUAAGCACACUUCGACUUAAGCACACUUUUUCUAGAGUUGUACUUGGAUGGGUGACCUCUUAGGAAGUCCUAGUGUUUUACAUG